rnacentral:rRNA from 1 species
CGGACGGGUGAGUAACGCGUGGGUAACCUGCCUCAUACAGGGGGAUAACAGUUAGAAAUGACUGCUAAUACCGCAUAAGACCACAGCACCGCAUGGUGCAGGGGUAAAAACUCCGGUGGUAUGAGAUGGACCCGCGUCUGAUUAGGUAGUUGGUGGGGUAACGGCCCACCAAGCCGACGAUCAGUAGCCGACCUGAGAGGGUGACCGGCCACAUUGGGACUGAGACACGGCCCAG